CUUUAUCCUUAUGGUAAAGCUAAUAAUUGUGAACUAAUUUUCGCCGAUAAAUUCCUAUCCUAAUUUUAAACGGAUUAUUUCUGUCAAGCCCUGUUCCCAAUUGAGUCAUGCCCAACUGCAGAUACACCAGAUACCAUUAACAAUUUUCCAAAGUCUGACGCUUUUGUUUCGCUGCCAUUGCGGGUCAACCCGAUUACGGGUACGAGAAAGGUCAGGAACAGAGGUCCGGACUUCGGAUUGCAGCCCCCUGAAUGGGCUUUCAAUGAGCGGCGGACGAAGCUCCAUUCAUUGGGGCCCAUUCCAUUCAGGUCUCUCCGGCUUUGUUUGCCUAUUUUUGGGCUGCUGUCGCUGGCCAUUGUGUUGCGAAAUUCCCUUGUAGCUUCCUUCACCUUUGCUUUUUGUUGGGUUUCUGGUUUUUGUAUUUGACUGCACCUCAUUUAUGCAGGAAACCGUUUUUCGGCUUGCUAAUUUGGCGCACAAACAUUUUUAAUUUCAAUUAGUCGACAGAGCACUCCUGACCUGAGUACUAUCGAGUAGCCUAAAAUAGACAUCCGGCACCCGGCACUGUUUUCGGCACUAGACCGAUCUGAACCGAGUGGUUCUUGUUUUGGCCUAAUCCACUUAGAAACUCUGAGAUGGUGGCAAAUCCGGGGAAAGAAUGCGUAGAGGGGAAACGCACGUGACUGCUGAGAGCUAAUACUUUCGUAAUUUCUUUUGGCCUUGUCAUAACCAAUUUAAGUCAAGUCCGAAGAACAAACCCGAAACUAAAACAGAAACAGAAUCUGAAACUGUGACUGAAAUGGAUCAAAAGCACCUAAUAAGAGUGUGAGCAAAACUCUUACACCGAAAGAAACAAAAAAUACUGAGAAAACAACUGGAGCUGAAAAUAAGUAAAUAGCACUGCCUAUUUUUUCUAAGUGGCGCAGCUAAAGCAGUUUUAUUCACACGAAUACACACAUGCACACAUGGCGAAAAUUUUCACGCAUUAAGGAAGUCAUUUGUUUGUAUUGGUUGCUUUUCCGAAUAGAAUUGAAUUUGUAAAUUUAUAUUGCCGUUUUCCCUCCCAUUUUCUGCUUCAAAUUGAGUUUGUACAUCAUAAAUUGCGAGCUGCCAAAGGGGAAAUAAUUAAGCAUUUUCAUUCUGUUUGUCUUCCGACUAUUUUCGAAUGUUUGUAUGUGGCAAAUGGAUUUUGAGUCAAUAUCGAAAAUUGUUAUCGUAAGUAAAAUGAAAAAUGGAGAAGACGCUGCUCGAUUUUCCUCAUUUCCAUUCUCGCCCCACAGCUGUUCCAUUUCUUUCUUUCUUUUUACUUUGCAAAUCGUUUUAAGUGUUUUUAUGGCAAACGGCAAAAAAUUUAUUACAGCCAAUUUGCAGGAGUACCUAAGAGUCCGUGGAAAAGGUAGGUUCUGUAGGGUUGAGUUAGCUGGCGUUUGGGGACCAAUUCUGGGGAUACGCAACGGAAAUCACAGCGGCAACACAAAGGAUUCAAGUGACUUUUUCCAUGGUUUUUUCUCGUUCUCAAAGAAAGUGAUAGAACGAGCCCAUGAAUCAUGUAUGCAACGGAAACAGAACAAAACGCUUUCCCACAGCAUCUCCCAGUCCGACUUUCCCGACCGCCCAACCCACCAUUUGCCCCUCCUUCGGCUGGGAAAGCUGCAUAAAUCAAAACGCCAGUCAAAAUAUGUUUUCCUUUGCCAGCUCACAUCCAAAGGUUAAAUGUUGAUAUAUGCUGCGAACCAUGGAGUACUUGUUAUUGGCUUGUUUAUUGCAGGCUUCCAGUAGAUCUGAGCCGAAUUUAUGCACCUACAUAUAACCUAUGUAUGUUUCGACAGAGGAAGAAUGUUGAGAAAUAUUUAAAGAUCGUAGGAUACUCGUUUCCUAUGCUUUCGCAAACGUAAAAAUAUUUGUAUAAAUCACGUGGUCUAGCAAACAUUGUUUUAUUUUUACUAAAUUUCGAGAUGAAAGGUAUCGUGAAAGCUAUUAAUUCCGAACGCCCCUGCUCCAUACUCUUUUGUGCGGCAAGGACCUGCUUUUAAGUACCUGCACCUAAGUGUCCAUUUAGUGUAUGGACAACUUUUCCGAAUGAAUGGGGCGCCCCAAGUGACAGGGCUUUCUCUCGGGCUUCUUCUUCUAUCUGCCGUUUCCGGGAAAGGUACGGAAGUUGCUUGUCAAACGGCAAUCUCACCCAGCAACGCUCUCCGCACUCACACAAACACGAUAAUCAAAUCAAGGCGCCAGCUAUUUGGUUAAUGUGCAUGACAGCGUCGCCGGCAACGCAAUUGAAAAGCUGAGCGGGUCCCAGGGAAAGUAGAAAUGUUAAAACUGAAGCAGAAGCACCUCAAGCCUUGAAAGACAACUGAACAUCAAAUAUUAAGAGAGGAUGGGCCAAGGGUCAUUGUCUGGUGAAAGAAUACCUUUUCUAUUUGGUCUUUGGGCUCUCUAAUUUCCCCCUUUUCCACGGCGUUUUUAAUAUUGCAAUUUUACCUAUUCCGAAUAAGGAAAUAAUUCUCCACGAAUAAAUGGACUUGAAUUUUGGAGCGUUGCGGAA
rnacentral:sRNA from 1 species